UGGGGAAUUUUGGACAAUGGGCGCAAGCCUGAUCCAGCCAUGCCGCGUGCGGGAAGAAGGCCUUCGGGUUGUAAACCGCUUUUGUCAGGGAAGAAAUCUUCUGAGUUAAUACCUCGGGAGGAUGACGGUACCUGAAGAAUAAGCACCGGCUAACUACGUGCCAGCAGCCGCGGUAAUACGUAGGGUGCAAGCGUUAAUCGGAAUUACUGGGCGUAAAGCGUGCGCAGGCGGUUUUGUAAGACAGAGGUGAAAUCCCCGGGCUCAACCUGGGAACUGCCUUUGUGACUGCAAGGCUGAGUGCGGCAGAGGGGGAUGGAAUUCCGCGUGUAGCAGUGAAAUGCGUAGAUAUGCGGAGGAACACCGAUGGCGAAGGCAAUCCCCUGGGCCUGCACUGACGCUCAUGCACGAAAGCGUGGGGAGCAAACAGGAUUAGAUACCCUGGUAGUCCACGCCCUAAAACGAUGUCAACUGGUUGUUGGGAAGGUUCCUUCUCAGUAACGUAGCUAACGCGUGAAGUUGACCGCCUGGGGAGUACGGCCGCAAGGUUGAAAC
rnacentral:rRNA from 1 species